rnacentral:lncRNA from 1 species
GGCUGGGCUGGGGCAGAGAGUUUCCUGAGGUGGGUCAGGGGACUGGAAACCAUGAGGCCUGAGCCCCGGGGGAGUGGUCACCAGGCAAAGGCCCGACAGGCCCUGGAAAGAGGCGAGGACAGGAGCAGGACGGCCACCGGCCAAGUGGGGCGAGGCACAACAGGCCGUCCUUCCUCCUCUGAGCUCCGGCUUCCCACACUGUGAGAGGCCCAAGGCCCCUCGUGGAGCAAAGCUAUGGGGGGUGAAGGUGGGAGCUGCCGUGAUGGUCCUUGUGCGGCAGGGAAGUUGACUGGGGGGGUGGGAACCCCCGAAGGCAAUGGGCCCUGCCUAGAGUCCUGAGAUGUGAGCGUCCCCAGGCCUGCAGACCAGGUUCUGGGACCUCCGCAGACGGCACAGAGGCUGGGACCUGACCUUGGCCUCUAUGGAGGGGGUCCCGGGGGUCGUGGGUGGAAUCAGAGUGUGUGGGAAGGAAGGUGACUGCGCUGUCCCCCAACCGCCCUGCAGGGGUGAGCUCUGAGACCUUCCUUGAGAAGAUGGUGGCAGGAGAGGUGCCCUCAAUUGCCAUCAGCCUGAAGGUGGCUUAUCCAUGUCUAAAAAUAGUGGCUACGGGCUCUGCAGUGUGGCCUGCUGCGAUAAUAGCAGUUGUCGGGAUCGCUGGGGUCGCCGGGGUCAUCUUAUAUCAAAAAAAGAUGAAAACGCACAAUAAAAUGGAAUAGAAAAUCCAUUGACAAGAAUCAUCUCCAAGCCCUGGACAGACAGGAGAGCCAGAUGUGGGGACAGAUGUGCUGUGAGGACAUGUGUGACAAUUUGGAUCCUUCGAGGCCCAGCUGCGACCCUACCAGCCCCCACCUGGCCCGUCCGUGAGACUUGGACCAGCACCUGCGGGAGUCCAGGGGUACUUGCGGCAGCAGCUUUAGAGCAAGAGGAGGGAGGCCAAGGAGAGGGCUGUCAGGGGAGUGGCCAUCACGAGAGGACGUUGUCUGCAAACAGGCGGACGAGCAGCCAGAAAAUAGGGGCGGCCGGAGGGAGGGGUCCGCGCGGCGGGGGAGGGUCGCGGGGGGCGAGGGCCGGGGGCGCCCUGCGGGAGGGGCGUCAGCUCCG